rfam:TPA: Bos taurus chromosome 8, whole genome shotgun sequence.
UCCCUGGUGCCUCAAAUGGUAAAGAAUCUGCUUGCAACACAGGAGACCCAGGUUCAAUCCCUGGGUAGGGAA